rnacentral:rRNA from 1 species
GACGAACGCUGGCGGCGCGCUUAACACAUGCAAGUCGUGCGGUACCGAUGGCAAGUCUUCAUGACGAGCCUUCGGUAUAGCGGCGGACGGGUGAGUAACACGUGAGUAGCUGUCCUAGGGAGGGGGAUAACGCCUGGAAACGGGUGCUAAAACCCCAUAAGCCUCGCAAGAGGUGAAAGUGUACUUGUUACAGCCUUAGGGUGUGCUCGCGGCCUAUCAGCUAGUUGGUGAGGUAAGGGCUCACCAAGGCUAAGACGGGUAGCCGGCCUGAGAGGGUGUACGGCCACACUGGAAUUGAGAUACGGUCCAGACUCCUACGGGAGGCAGCAGUGGGGAAUUUGGGCAAUGGGCGAAAGCCUGACCCAGCGACGCCGCGUUGGGGAUGAAGUCCUUCGGGGCGUAAACCAUGUGUAGGGAAGAAGAAAGUGACGGUACCUACGAGAAAGCCCGGCCAACUACGUG